AACGAACGCUGGCGGCAUGCCUAACACAUGCAAGUCGAACGAGACCUUCGGGUCUAGUGGCGCACGGGUGCGUAACGCGUGGGAAUCUGCCCUUGGGUUCGGAAUAACAGUUAGAAAUGACUGCUAAUACCGAAUGAUGUCUUCGGACCAAAGAUUUAUCGCCCAGGGAUGAGCCCGCGUCGGAUUAGCUAGUUGGUGAGGUAAAGGCUCACCAAGGCGACGAUCCGUAGCUGGUCUGAGAGGAUGAUCAGCCACACUGGGACUGAGACACGGCCCAGACUCCUACGGGAGGCAGCAGUGGGGAAUAUUGGACAAUGGGCAAAAGCCUGAUCCAGCAAUGCCGCGUGAGUGAUGAAGGCCUUAGGGUUGUAAAGCUCUUUUACCCGGGAUGAUAAUGACAGUACCGGGAGAAUAAGCCCCGGCUAACUCCGUGCCAGCCGCCGCGGUAAGAC
rnacentral:rRNA from 1 species